ACGAGUGUAUGUGUGUGUGUGUGUGUGUGUGUGUGUGUGUGCUGCGAGACGAGUGUAUGUGAUGGGUGUGUGUGUGUGCAUGUGCGUGUGUUCUUGAGGAAGAGUCCCGGGGUCUGAAAGGCGUCUGCGGGGAGCGAGCGGCGCCGCCA
ensembl:ncRNA Y54G2A.64 ncRNA